UACAGAGGAGCCAAGCGUUGUCCGGAAUUACUGGGCGUAAAGCGCACGUAGGCGGCUCUUUAAGUCGGGGGUGAAAUCCUGGAGCUCAACUCCAGAACUGCCUUCGAUACUGGAGAGCUCGAGUCCGGGAGAGGUGAGUGGAACUGCGAGUGUAGAGGUGAAAUUCGUAGAUAUUCGCAAGAACACCAGUGGCGAAGGCGGCUCACUGGCCCGGUACUGACGCUGAGGUGCGAAAGCGUGGGGAGCAAACAGG
rnacentral:rRNA from 1 species